UUUUUCGAAAUUAUAAGGUUAAAAUACACAGAAUAGAAAACUCAUCAGCCAUUUGGGGAUUUAUUCAUCACACGAUCUAGGGUUGCUGGGUGGUGGACGACGGCUGCUGGGCGAACAGCGGCUCGGCGGCAGCUGGGUGAACGGCGACGGUGACGGUGGUGAACGCCUCCAGCAAGCGUGGGUUCUCGGCUCCAGCACUCUCGGCGUCGUUGACAGGAACGGUGACAGGAAAAUCUUCUCCGGCGUUGGUUCUCGGCUCCAGCACUCUCGGGGGCGGUGCGGGUUCUCGGCUCCAUCACUCUCGGCGGCGGUGCGGGUUCUCGGCGUGGGUCUCUGCUGGUUGCUGGUUGCUGGUUCACGAUUCCAGCAGGGAAAGACGGAUUCUGAGGCUAAAGCUGCUGCAGGGGUAUAGACAAUGCUCGUGCUGUAACCAAUCUGGUGACUGCUUGAUAAAGGUGUGAAUAUCCAGACUGUAAAUGGUUUGAUUAUGAUAUUAGAUAUAUGUAGUAUAUGUUAAACUUUAUCCCAACCAGGGACAAACUUAGGACCAUAAUCCAGGGUGGGCAAACUAUAAUACUUUAUUAGGAAAUGCUACCAAUUCAUCUGCCAAAAGCAACAAAUCCAUUACAAAGUUUAAAGGCUCUGAAAAAAGUCUCCAUAAUGGAAAAAAAGAUUGAUAUAGUAAAAUAAGAAUUGAGUAUCUUAUUCGAAGACUUUGACAAAACUUAAGAAAUAGAAAUACUUGAUAAAGCUGAUAUUGACUUUUAAAUAGGAUAAAUCAAUUUCACAACUCAUAACUUGGCAAAGUGGACACUUAGGUAUAAUAUACAGGGUGAAGUAUUGUUUUGGUUGUUGUAUGAGUGUUUUGGUAUAGCUGCAGUUGUAAAUUUUGUUUUGCUCAAAAAGUUGUACUCACUUAAUACAUUGUAUUUAUUGUUCUGUUAGUGUAAUAUGCUUGGUCUGCAUAAUUUAUUGAUUAGUGCAUUUUUUGUCACCGAGUAUUGCUUUAUACCACUGUUUUUUUUUUUUUUUGUAUCAAUUGUUUUGUAUAUGUCAUGCACUAUCUAUAUUUAUAUAAAAUUGAAAUAGGGUAGGCAAUAGACACUAAGUCUGGCUAUAUAUACAUAUAAGAUAUAUAUAUAUUUCAAAAAAUUGGUUGAAAAGUGGUUGUUGUUCUGAUUGUAUUUUUGUAACCUUUGAUUAUGUUUACAUGUUCAGCUUCAGUGGUAAAACUGCUAAAAAGUACUCAAAACAAUGGACAUGUUUGGUUAGCCUUACUGGUUUUAUUAGAGCAGAAAACAUAGAUUGAUAUGGAUUCAUAUUAUUGCUUAAUUUUGUGGUUAAACGUGUACUGUGUAAAGCCCAUUUUCUUCACUUUGUUUCAUUUCGUUUCAUUGAUUUGUAAUUUAGUUUUUUGAGAAGUUGAUUGGUUUUUUUGUACUCUUUCAAAUUCAUUUCAUUGUAUUCUUCUUUUGAGAUUUUGCAACUUGCAACAAUGAUUAACAUAUUCUAUUACACACCUAUAAUUAAUGUUGGAGUUCUUCACUUAUAGAUUUUAAUGUUUUUGCAGCAAGCACUUUUAUUAAAAGGUACGAAAAUAGUCUUAUUGAUAUAAUUUAUUUCUCUUGUUUUUGUUUUUAUACAUUUCUAAAAAUGUAGAGCUAGCUAGAUAGAUAAGAGUUAAUGAAAAGUAUUGCCUCGCCCACAUGAAUAAUUGUAUCAUUAUGUAGUAUAGCUAGAAUUAGAUAUACAUAUCCUUACUAGGACCUAUGUAUACCUACGAGCUCUGCAUAUAUUUGCUUUGUCAUCAAGUGAUAGAAAUAUUGGAUUAUGAAAUUUUACCUAGUAUAUCUAGGAAUAGGAGUGGACCUAGGUAGAGUGUUUCAAUUUCAUUCAUUUUAAUAUUAUUAAAAAAAUAGACAUAUAAUUAUAAACUAUUUUUGUAUAUCUGUAUAUUUUUUUUUUUCAGGUGCU